rnacentral:rRNA from 1 species
GAUGAACGCUGGCGGCGUGCCUAAUACAUGCAAGUCGAGCGAACAGACGAGGAGCUUGCUCCUCUGACGUUAGCGGCGGACGGGUGAGUAACACGUGGAUAACCUACCUAUAAGACUGGGAUAACUUCGGGAAACCGGAGCUAAUACCGGAUAAUAUAUUGAACCGCAUGGUUCAAUAGUGAAAGACGGUUUUGCUGUCACUUAUAGAUGGAUCCGCGCCGCAUUAGCUAGUUGGUAAGGUAACGGCUUACCAAGGCAACGAUGCGUAGCCGACCUGAGAGGGUGAGCGGCCACCCUGGAACUGAGACACGGUCCAGACUCCUACGGGAGGCAGCAGUAGGGACUCUUCCGCAAUGGGCGAAAGCCUGACGGAGCAACGCCGCGUGAGUGAUGAAGGUCUUCGGAUCGUAAAACUCUGUUAUUAGGGAAGAACAAAUGUGUAAGUAACUAUGCACGUCUUGACGGUACCUAAUCAGAAAGCCACGGCUAACUACGUG